GACGAACGCUGGCGGCGUGCUUAACACAUGCAAGUCGAACGGAAAGGCCCUGCUUUUGUGGGGUGCUCGAGUGGCGAACGGGUGAGUAACACGUGAGUAACCUGCCCUUGACUUUGGGAUAACUUCAGGAAACUGGGGCUAAUACCGGAUAGGAGCUCCUGCUGCAUGGUGGGGGUUGGAAAGUUUCGGCGGUUGGGGAUGGACUCGCGGCUUAUCAGCUUGUUGGUGGGGUAGUGGCUUACCAAGGCUUUGACGGGUAGCCGGCCUGAGAGGGUGACCGGCCACAUUGGGACUGAGAUACGGCCCAGACUCCUACGGGCGGCAGCAGUGGGGAAUCUUGCCCCAUGGGCGGAAGCCUGAUGCAGCAACGCCGCGUGCGGGAUGACGGCCUUCGGGUUGUAAACCGCUUUCGCCUGUGACGACGCGUGAGUGACGGUAAUGGGUAAAGAAGCACCGGCUAACUACGUG
rnacentral:rRNA from 1 species